rnacentral:rRNA from 1 species
GACGUAGGGGGCCAGCGUUGUUCGGAAUUACUGGGUGUAAAGGGUGCGUAGGUGGCGCGGUAAGUCGGGUGUGAAAUUUCGGAGCUCAACUCCGAAACUGCAUUCGAUACUGCCGUGCUUGAGGACUGGAGAGGAGACUGGAAUUUACGGUGUAGCAGUGAAAUGCGUAGAGAUCGUAAGGAAGACCAGUGGCGAAGGCGGGUCUCUGGACAGUUCCUGACGCUGAGGCACGAAGGUCAGGGGAGCAAACGGG